rnacentral:rRNA from 1 species
UACGUAGGGGGCUAGCGUUGUCCGGAUUUAUUGGGCGUAAAGAGCGUGUAGGCGGCCGACUAAGUCCGACGUGAAAUCUGGAGGCUCAACCUCCAGCGGUCGUUGGAAACUAGUCGGCUAGAGUCCGGAAGAGGAGAGUGGAAUUCCUGGUGUAGCGGUGAAAUGCGCAGAUAUCAGGAAGAACACCUAUGGCGAAGGCAGCUCGCUGGGACGUUACUGACGCUGAGACGCGAAAGCGUGGGGAGCAAACAGG